CAUAAGAUUGUAGUAUCGCAUGAUAUAGCAUUAAAGGAGCAAUUCGCUAUAAGAUGGACCCGCGUCGCAUUAGCUAGUUGGUGAGGUAAUGGCUCACCAAGGCGACGAUGCGUAGCCGACCUGAGAGGGUGAUCGGCCACAUUGGGACUGAGACACGGCCCAGACUCCUACGGGAGCAGCAUG
rnacentral:rRNA from 1 species